rnacentral:misc_RNA from 1 species
GAAAUGCGAUAAGUAAUGUGAAUUGCAGAAUUCAGUGAAUCAUCGAAUCUUUGAACGCACAUUGCGCCCGGCAGCAAUCUGCCGGGCAUGCCUGUCCGAGCGUCAUUUCUCCCCUCGAGCGCGGCUAGCCCUACGGGGCCAGCCGCCGCCCGGUGUUGGGGCUCUACGGGUGGGGCUCGUCCCCCCCCGCAGUCCCCGAAAUGUAGUGGCGGUCCAGCCGCGGCGCCCCCUGCGUAGUAGAUCCUACAUCUCGCAUCGGGUCCCGGCGAAGGCCAGCCGUCGAACCUUCUUACUCAUGGUUUGACCUCGGAUCAGGUAGGGUUACCCGCUGAACUUAA